AUGUUCAUUCAUACAAAAAAAAAAAGAACAUAUCUAAAAAACAAAAAAAAAUUCAAAAUAACUGUUCUAGUGUUCUUUAUCUUUCCUGGGUUUUCUUACAUCUCUCUCAAAUAUAACGUCUCUCUCAAUUCUGACUGAAACUCUCUCUUCUCUCUCACACUAGCCCACUCGUCUCUUUCAGUCUCACUCGAAUCUCGUCUCAGUCACACUCGCCGGCGUCUCCACGUGUCGCGGCCUUUCCUGGGAUCCUCGUCGUCUUCUGGUUUUGGGACCUUGCCGUAGCCGUAGACCGUAGUCAGUUGGUAUUUCUAGGAAUUCUUUGCACAAGAGGUGCACUACUGGUGGAAAGAAGAGGGUUUGAGGUUUGGAGAAAAAAGAGAAAGCUUAUUUCUUGUUGGAUUUUCCAUCAUAGUUGGAAUUGAAGCUGCCAAGGGGUUCAAGUGGCUUCUAAACAAGCUGAAUAUGUGUUCAGGAAGUGGUAAUAACUCUGAAAACAAGCUGAAUAUGUGGCUUUAUAUAUAACCAGAUGAGCCUUCUAAAGAACUGCCGAAGUUUUCGGUCAAACUUUUUCUUCAUUUCAGUGGGCAUGUUGCGGUGAAAUUCCAAUAUGACCAGGUUUCACAUGCUAACUUCAUCAAGAGUAAUAAUUUCUGCUUUUCGGAGAAUCCCUAGAUCUUCUUGGAAUGCAAAAGAAAGGUAUCUCU